rnacentral:rRNA from 1 species
AUGCAUGUCUAAGUGGAGUAUUAUAAAGCGAAACUGCGAACGGCUCAUUACAACAGAUAUAAUCUACUUGUUCUAUUCUUUAAACUGAUAACUGAGGAAAAUCUUGAGCCAAACAAGUGAAAAAAGCCGGAUUCAGCAAUGAGUUCGGUGCACUUAUCGGAGCAAAAUCAAUCUUGAUUCAUGCUAACUCUAGAUAACCUUGCUUAUCGCACGACCUUGCGUCGGCGAAGUUACAUUCGAGUAUCUGCCUUAUCAACUAUCGUUGGUAGUGUAUUGGAUUACCAUGGUGUUGACGGGUAACGGAGAAUCAGGGUUCGACUCCGGAGAGGGAGCCUUAGAAACGGCUACCAUGUCUAAGGACAGCAGCAGGCGCGCAACUUAUCCACUGUUCAUUGAACGAGAUAGUGACGAGAAAUAACAAGCUCAUUCUCUUUGAGGUUGAGCAUUGGAAUGGAUGAAAUCUAAACAAUUUCAUGAGUACCCAUGAGAGGGCAAGUCUGGUGCCAGCAGCCGCGGUAAUUCCAGCUCUCAUAAUGUAUAGAAUUAUUGUUGCGGUUAAAAAGUUCGUAGUUGGAUUUUGUACCUGUUACGGGUGGCAUCUUUUGGUGUCUACUUGUACGGGUUUUUUCACAGUGUUGGACUUGUUCAACAUUGUGGGGUUACUUUGAACGGCUUAAGUGCUCAAAGCGGGUCUUCGGACCGAAUACCGGUGCAUGGAAUAAUGGAACAAGGUUUCGAUCGAGUUUUAUUGGUUUUGUCGGUUGAGACAAUGGUUAACAGGAACAGCUGGGGGCACUCGUAUUGCUGCGCGAGAGGUGAAAUUCGUGGACCGCAGCAAGACGCCCAAAAGCGAAGGCAUUUGCCAAGAGUGUUUUCAUUAAUCAAGAACGAAAGUCAGAGGUUCGAAGGCGAUUAGAUACCGCCCUAGUUCUGACCGUAAACGAUGCCAACUAUCAAUCCGCUAGUGGCAUUUAGUCAUUGGCGGGCGGAUCGACGGAAACGAAAGUUUUUCGGUUCCGGGGGAAGUAUGGUUGCAAAGCUGAAACUUAAAGGAAUUGACGGAAGGGCACCACCAGGAGUGGAGCUUGCGGCUUAAUUUGACUCAACACGGGAAAUCUCACCCGGCCAGUACAUCAUAAGGAUUGACAGAUUGAAAGCUCUUUCAUGAUUUGAUGAAUGGUGGUGCAUGGCCGUUCUUAGUUCGUGGCGUGAGUCGUCUGCUUAAUUGCGAUAACGAGCGAGACUCCGACUGCUAAAUACCAGUGGGAUUUUUUUGUCCCUCGCGGUUCUUAGCUGGAUUCGCGGCUUUAAGCCGCAAGAAAUGGAGCAAUAACAGGUCUGUGAUGCCCUUAGAUGUUCGGGGCGGCACGCGUGCUACAAUGAUGAUAACAGCAUGCUUGUGCUCGACCGACAGGUCUUGCCAAACAUAUGAGAUAUUAUUAUGGCUGGAAUUGAGUGUUGAAACUUUCUCUCAUGAACGAGGAAUUCCAAGUAAAUGCAAGUCAUCAACUUGCAUUGAUUACGUCCCUGCCCUUUGUACACACCGCCCGUCGCUACCCGGGACUGAGUUGUUUCGAGAAAUCUACGGACCGCUGGAAUGGAGGCAACUUCAUUUUUGGUGGAAAGUAAAUUAAUCGCAAUGGCUUGAACCGGGUAAAAGUCGUAACAAGGUAGCCGUAG